GCCCGGCUAGCUCAGUCGGUAGAGCAUCAGACUUUUAAGAAUACUUAGCAAUCUGAGGGUCGGGGGUUCGAGUCCCCCGUUGGGCG
rnacentral:tRNA from 1 species